AUGAAUAAACUUGGUCAAGUUGUUGCUGGUUCUUCGGGACAUGUGCACACUUGCCACCAAUUUUAACCACCUGUGCACCCUUUGUAGACUGGAAACAUUUUCUCGAGGCAACUCGGAUUGAGAACUGCUGUGCGUAAGCUAAGCUGUUCUUGUGUUUCUCAGUCUAUGUUUUCAUAUACUCCUAAUGUAUGUAUCUGAAUGGUAUUGCUAGGCCUUAGUGCCUUUAAAACAAAUA
rnacentral:misc_RNA from 1 species